UGAAAUGGCUAAACAACAUUAAAAUGUUAAGGAUGGACGCGUUGAGCGACAGGAUCCACUGAUGCAAACUACAAAACCCCGUUUUAGAUGAAAAGAUCUCAUUGCGUGAUUCACGUGUAACGGAGGCCAUCGGUUAGUGAGAGCUGUGUGUGCAGGUAAAGGCCGCGAGCGCUUCUCUACGGUGCCGUACCGAUGGCCGAUUCGAGACUCAGUGUGGGCGUCAAGUCGUCCAUUAAAGUGGAGUGUGUGAUCACAGAAAAGAAUGAAUUUGGCAAGAGUCCCGUCUGGGAGGAAAAAGACUCGUCUUUGGUGGGUCAGCUGGUGGAGUUCUCUCACUGGUCUUGAGGAGAGUAUCACUACAGAAACCUGUAGGAUCUGUGGUGCGAAAGGCAGACGGUUACGUCUUCGAGGAGGGGAUGUGCUUUGCGUUUGUUGACCGGGUCAUGCACUCCAUUACAACAGCUGCUCAGCUGGACAAGGAAAAGGCCAACGCUCGCUUCAGUGAUGGAAAAGUAAAACAGCUGGGAGGUUCUUUGCAGACCUGCCGCCGGCCGUGGUGGAGAGGAAACAGGGGUCUCUGUAUCCUGACCGUUCAUCAUUCAGACCAGGUGGACAUCUCCGACAGUUUGGACUGGUCACUGGAUCACCGCAUCUUUUUUCCACAUCAACACCCUGCCGUACAUGACUACCACAUCCAGACCGGCUGUCCAUACUGUAUUUAUUUUUCUGUGUGUGUGUGUGUGUGUGUAA